UAGACACAGGUACCAACACACACCAUGUCCCCACUAGACACAGGUACCAACACACACCACGUCCCCACUAGACACAGGUACCAACACACACCAUGUCCCCACUAGACACAGGUACCAACACACACCACGUCCCCACUAGACACAGGUACCAACACACACCAUGUCCCCACUAGACACAGGUACCAACACACACCAUGUCCCCACUAGACACAGGUACCAACACACACCAUGUCCCCACUAGACACAGGUACCAACACACACUAUGUCCCCACUAGACACAGGUACCAACACACACCAUGUCCCCACUAGACACAGGUACCAACACACACCAUGUCCCCACUAGACACAGGUACCAACACGCACCAUGUCCCCACUAGACACAGGUACCAACACGCACCAUGUCCCCACUAGACACAGGUACCAACACACACCACGUCCCCACUAGACACAGGUACCAACACACACCAUGUCCCCACUAGACACAGGUACCAACACACACCAUGUCCCCACUAGACACAGGUACCAACACACACCAUGUCCCCACUAGACACAGGUACCAACACACACCAUGUCCCCACUAGACACAGGUACCAACACACACCAUGUCCCCACUAGACACAGGUACCAACACACACCAUGUCCCCACUAGACACAGGUACCAACACACACCAUGUCCCCACUAGACACAGGUACCAACACACACCAUGUCCCCACUAGACACAGGUACCAACACACACCAUGUCCCCACUAGACACAGGUACCAACACACACCAUGUCCCCACUAGACACAGGUACCAACACACACCAUGUCCCCACUAGACACAGGUACCAACACACACCAUGUCCCCACUAGACACAGGUACCAACACACACCAUGUCCCCACUAGACACAGGUACCAACACGCACCAUGUCCCCACUAGACACAGGUACCAACACACACCAUGUCCCCACUAGACACAGGUACCAACACACACCAUGUCCCCACUAGACACAGGUACCAACACACACCAUGUCCCCACUAGACACAGGUACCAACACACACCAUGUCCCCACUAGACACAGGUACCAACACACACAUUUAAAACAGGUAAAACUUCCCCUGUGAACCGUAAAAAAAAAAAAAGAAGAAGAAUGUGUCUGUUUCUGCAGGUCCAGUGGUGGCAAAGGACAUCAGUACGUACCACACAGUCUUCCUAUUGGCCAUACUGGGAGGCAUGGCUGUCAUCCUCCUCUGCCUGCUCUGUCUACUACUGUACUACUGCAGGUCUGUCUGGAUCAAUGGACUUCCCUGCUGACUGUCAUAAGUGUCUUGUGCGUGAGUGAAGCAGUCUUGAGUUUCAACAGGACUGUCUUCUCUUUCCUCCCCCC